CAAUCCAUGAGUAAAGUGGCGACCGGGUGAGUAACACGUGACUAACCUACCUUCGAGUGGGGGAUAACCUAGGGAAACCUGGGCUAAUACCGCAUAACAUCUUUGGAGUGGAAAUUCUGAAGAUCAACGGAGCAAUUCGCUGGAAGAGGGGGUCGCGGCUGAUUAGCUAGUUGGCGGGGUAAUGGCCCACCAAGGCUUUGAUCGGUAGCCGGCCUGAGAGGGCGCACGGCCACACUGGAACUGAAACACGGUCCAGACUCCUACGGGAGGCAGCAGUGGGGAAUUUUGCGCAAUGGGGGAAACCCUAACGCAGCAACGCCGCGUGGAGGAUGAAGUCCCUUGGGACGUAAACUCCUUUCGACCGGGACGAUAAUGACGGUACCGGUGGAAGAAGCCCCGGCUAACUUCGUGCCAGCAGCCGCGGUAAU
rnacentral:rRNA from 1 species